GAUGAAGAACGCAGUGAAAUGCGAUAAGUAGUGUGAAUUGCAGAAUUCAGUGAAUCAUCGAAUCUUUGAACGCACAUUGCGCCCAUUAGUAUUCUAGUGGGCAUGCCUGUUCGAGCGUCAUUAAGUCCACUUAAGCCCUGCUUAGUGUUGGGAGACUGCUCCAGCGGUGCUACCCUGUAGCUACCCUGCAGCUCCUCAAAGACAGCGGCGGAGUUGUGGUAUCCUCUGAGCUUAGUAACUUGUUCUAGCUUUCGAGUACACCACUUCCCCUGCCGUAAAACCCUUAAUUUUUAAUGGUUGACCUCGGAUCAGGUAGGAAUACCCGCUGAACUUAAGCAUAUCAAUAAGCGGAGGA
rnacentral:misc_RNA from 1 species